AGGGUGUAAACGCUGCAGACUUGGUGUUGGAAAUCCUUCGAGGGUAUUCAGUGCCGGAGAGAAGUUGUUAAGUCUGCUACUUGGGGGAGUACGUCCGCAAGGAUGAAACUUAAGGAAUUGGCGGGGGAGCACCGCAACGGGAGGAGCGUGCGGUUUAAUUGGAUUCAACACCGGAAAACUCACCAGGGGAGACUGUUACAUGAAACCCAGACUAAUGAUCUUGGUUGAUUUUCAGAGAGGAGGUGCAUGGCGUCAGUGACU
rnacentral:rRNA from 1 species